CAGUUCUGAUGCAAUAACUCCGGCCGUCACUGCUGGGAAAAUGCAGAAUAGCAUUAGCAUUAGCCAAAAUAACUAAAGCAAUUAUGGCUCUUCCUGCAGUAUUACAGGUGAAUGUUUGACACUGAGCCCAGCAGUACAGGAAGUGUCUGACCACACAGCCUGAGCAGACAGAGAAAAGCAUCUGUUGUCAAUAUGUUUGAAAAGCAUAUGACAGCAGGAUAUCAGAGAUAAGGAACCCAAAAACAGAAAACAGAGACUGCUCAGAAUUAGAUAAAGUGACAUAAAAAAAAAAAAUAGGAAUAAGAAAUAGCCAGUGCCUCAUAAAAAAAAAAAAAAUGGGAUGAGAAAGUAGCUGACCUGAAAAAAAUAAAUAAAUAAAAUAAAACAGUUUUGAAUUUUAUUUGUUUAAAAUAGUGCUAUCAAACUAAUAAUCAUGAUUAAUUCCAUCCAAAAUAAAAGUUUUUGUUUACAUUAUGUAUAUGUAUGUAUGUAUAUAUAAAUACACACACAUACAGUAUAUAUUUAUAUUCUUAUAUUUUAUAUUAUAUAUAAAUAUAUUUACUGUAAUAUAGAAACAUACAAUUUUUCGUAAAUAUAUCAAUGCAUGUGUUUGUAUAUAUAUUCACACUGCUUUUAAAAUAAACUUUCGUUCUGUGAUAUUUUGUAGUGGACACGUGUCUGAUCACCCUUGUGAGUUUGUGUUUUGGCCGGUCAGGGAUGGAGGGUGAUGGGCAUCUGCUGAGCUGAAGAAAGUGUUUCCGGAGUGAAUAUUUGAUAUAGGUUUGCUGUAGUGUGUCCUGAGGACAUAUGGCCUGCAGCAGAACAGCGUCCCAUCCGCUCGGACACUCACUGUAAUGGCUUCUGUCAGGAUGCAGCAGAACAAACAGCCGGCACAGAUGCAGGGGAAGUCCAUCACGUACGCAUCCAGUGCUCAUCUCUGCAGUCGGCCCGAACUAGGCAUAAUUUAUUGACUGAAGAUGGAGUCAAUAGAUCCUGAAGCACACUUAAACCCAGUCAGCAGUGAUUACGAGGUGUUGAGCGCACACCGCAAACUUAUGCAAGCUUAUGUCUAGAAAAAAUGUUAUCUCUUCAUGAGAGGCCUAAAGCUGUCAACUUGAUUAAGGACGCAGAUGAGCAUCUGAGGAU
ensembl:lncRNA